AUACGUAGGGAGCGAGCGUUGUCCGGAAUUACUGGGUGUAAAGGGAGCGUAGGCGGGAUGGCAAGUCAGAUGUGAAAACUAUGGGCUCAACCCAUAGACUGCAUUUGAAACUGUUGUUCUUGAGUGAAGUAGAGGUAAGCGGAAUUCCUGGUGUAGCGGUGAAAUGCGUAGAUAUCAGGAGGAACAUCGGUGGCGAAGGCGGCUUACUGGGCUUUUACUGACGCCGAGGCUCGAAAGCGUGGGGAGCAAACAGGAUUAGAUACCCUGGUAGUCCACGCUGUAAACGAUGAUUACUAGGUGUGGGGGGACUGACCCCUUCCGUGCCGCAGUUAACACAAUAAGUAAUCCACCUGGGGAGUACGGCCGCAAGGUUGAAACUCAAAUGAAUUGGCGGGG
rnacentral:rRNA from 1 species